UGUGAAAUGAAUCCAAAGUUGGUGCUCACCAAAUCCUUGUCCAUCUUGUCCCUGCUGUUCAUGUUGGAGGGAAGGAAGCCCGCGCUGGCUACGACGUCGGUCAUGGAGGACUGCGGGUCCAAGAGCUGCGGGGACGGCCGCAACAUCACCUAUCCCUUCUGGCUCGACGGUCAGCAGCAAUCCUACUGUGGCUACUCCUCCUUCAGGGUCACCUGCAAGAACAACAGCUACAGCCCUGUGAUGACCUUCCUAGACCGAGAGUUUUAUGUCAUCGACAUCUUCUACGACAACCGAUCGCUCAUCCUCACUUCUAUCGAGUUCCUCGAUCAGCAGUGCCCGUUGCCUUACACCAACGUCACUACUAAUACAGUUCAAAACAAAAAUCCUGAUGGAAGAAUCCCUCUAAUCAAUUAAUGGUCUGAUCUUUGUGCCAGCUCUAAUCAACAUAGGGAUUCUACCUUCCUACGACUUAUCUACAAUAAAAGCUGCAGCAAAUGAUUUCUCUGAUGAAAAUAAACUCGGUGAAGGAGGAUUUGGUGUUGUUUACAAGGGUCAGUUGCAAGAUGGACAAAAGAUUGCAGUCAAAAAAUUGUCAAGAUACUCUUCGCAAGGUCCAAAUGAGUUCCAAAAUGAACUUUCACUGAUAGCCAAGUUACAACAUAGAAAUCUUGUUCGACUUUUGGGAUCGUGUAUUGAAGGAGAUGAGAGACUCAUCAUCCUUGAAUACAUGGAAAAUAAAAGCUUAGACUCCUUCAUUUAUGAUAAAGCUAGAAGUUCAUUGCUAAACUGGCAAAAGCGUCUAGAUAUAAUAAUUGGGAUUGCUCGUGGACUCCUAUACUUGCAUCAAGACUCUCUCUUGAGGGUCAUCCAUCGUGAUCUUAAGCCGAGUAAUAUACUCCUUGACAAGGAUAUGAUUCCAAAAAUUUCAGAUUUUGGCAUUUCAAGGAUAUUUGAAGGAGAUGGAGCUCCGGAGAAUGCAACUACGAGGCCAAUUGGAACGAUGUAAGUACUUUAAGAUGAAUUUAUUUGAUUGAAAAGAUAAAAAAGAUUAUUUAUGUUUUAUGUGCAAAUUUGUUAUCUUUCCUUUUUCUUACCCCUUGUAUAUAUCUUAGUCAAACAAUAAAUUAUUGGACAAUGCUAAUAUUGAAGUUCUCAAAUGCAGUGGAUAUAUGGCACCUGAGUACUUAAAUGAUGGAGUUUUUUCAUUUAAAUCAGAUGUAUUUAGUUUUGGUGUCAUAGUAUUAGAAAUCCUUAGCGGCACAAGGAAUAGAAUAAUCAACCACACAGAUGCAAGUCUGAAUCUUUUAGGACAUGCAUAUAGGCUUUGGAAGGAAGGUAGAUCAUUAGAGAUUCUUGAUAAUGCAUUAGAUUGCUCAUAUCCAACAACAGAAAUCCUAAGUUGCAUCCGAAUGAGUUUGUUAUGUGUACAAGAUAAUAUCGAAGACAGACCAACAAUGGCGGAAGUCGUGAUGAUGCUGACAAGUGAGGACCAACUCCAAACUCCAUUUAAAGAACCUACCAUAAUAUCAACCAUUGGCGAAGAGCGCUUCACUAUUAAUGAAAUGAGUCUUACAAUCACAGGUCGAUAACAUGUUCGUUUGUUUUGCUUGAUAUAUACUUACAUCUUUUCUAGGGUAGUUAAUGCUUUGGAGGAU